UACAGAGGGUGCGAGCGUUACUCGGAAUUACUGGGCGUAAAGCGUGCGUAGACGGUUUCGUAAGUCGGGUGUGAAAUCCCCGGGCUCAACCUGGGAAUUGCAUUCGAAACUGCGAGGCUAGGGUACGGAAGAGGGAAGCGGAAUUUCUGGUGUAGCGGUGAAAUGCGUAGAUAUCAGAAGGAACAUCAGUGGCGAAAGCGGCUUCCUGGUCCAGUACCGACGUUCAGGCACGAAAGCGUGGGGAUCAAACAGG
rnacentral:rRNA from 1 species